rnacentral:misc_RNA from 1 species
GAUGAAGAACGUAGCGAACUGCGAUAAGUAAUGUGAAUUGCAGAAUUCAGUGAAUCAUCGAGUCUUUGAACGCACAUUGCGCCCCCUGGCAUUCCGGGGGGCAUGCCUGUCCGAGCGUCAUUGCUGCCCUUCAAGCCCGGCUUGUGUGUUGGGUCGUCGUCCCCCCCGGGGGACGGGCCCGAAAGGCAGCGGCGGCACCGCGUCCGGUCCUCGAGCGUAUGGGGCUUUGUCACCCGCUCGAUUAGGGCCGGCCGGACGCCAGCCGGCGUCUCCAACCUUCUAUUUUACCAGGUUGACCUCGGAUCAGGUAGGGAUACCCGCUGAACUUAAGCAUAUCAAUAAGCGGAGGA